CCCCCAUUUAAAAAAAAAACAAAACAAAACAGAGAGCUUCUUUGCUCUCUCUCCCUCUCCCUUUCUCACAUGCGGCUAGGGUUUUGAAACCCAUCCUCGCCUCCGUUGUCUUGACUCCACCGUGGGCGGUGGCUAGAGCCGCAUAGGACGGGUUCUUCAACCCCAUUUCAAAGCCAUUCAAGGGCCACGUUCUUUUUAGCCCAAAAAUGAGAAAGAAGGAGAUCCUUUUACCCCAUUUUUGGAAUUGACUCCAUCGACGGAGAUGAGGCUCCGAUGGCGCGACUCCGGGGCGGUCCAGGUGUUGCGACGCGUGGAAGAGGCGAUGGUUAGGGGCGUGGUGCUGCACGAGGUGGCCAAUGGUGAGGAGCGGCGGCUGAAGAGGGGGCUAGGGUUUGCUUGCUGAAAAUUUUGAUAGCUAAUGGGCUAGGAUUUGGGCUGGUUUGGUUUGCAUUUUGGGUCUGAAAUGGGUUUUAAAUUAUUGGGCCACACAUAUAUUGUAAAUGGACUAAAAAAAUGGACUUUUAUUUUAGUUA